AGCAGCCGCGGUAAUUCCAGCUCCAAUAGCGUAUAUUAAAGUUGUUGCAGUUAAAAAGCUCGUAGUUGAAUUUCGGGAUCAGUUGGUCGGUCGUGCCUCGGUACGUACUGGUCAAAUUGGUUCCUACCUUCUGACGAACCACGAUGUCAUUAAUUUGGUGUCGCGGGAAAUCAGGACUGUUACUUUGAAAAAAUUAGAGUGUUUAAAGCAGGCUCGCGCUUGAAUACAUUAGCAUGGAAUAAUGAAAUAGGACGUUUGAUUCUAUUUUGUUGGUUUCUAGGAUCGACGUAAUGAUUAAUAGGGAUAGUUGGGGGCAUUAGUAUUCAAUUGUCAGAGGUGAAAUUCUUGGAUUUAUUGAAGACUAACUACUGCGAAAGCAUUUGCCAAGGAUGUUUUCAUUAAUCAAGAACGAAAGUUAGGGGAUCGAAGACGAUCAGAUACCGUCGUAGUCUUAACCAUAAACUAUGCCGACUAGGGAUCGGAUGAUGUUAAUUUUUUAAUGACUCAUUCGGCGCCUUACG
rnacentral:rRNA from 1 species